AUGGCAGUGUUUGUUAAUGACAGUUGUGUAAAUUUGUACCUGAGGACACACUGCUCUGUGUUAAAACUCUGACAAGUUAGUGCUCAAGGAAUACUGGCAUCCCAAUGAGCAUCCCAGCACCUGCUUCUUCAAGCCCGAGCAAGCAACUCUUAGCUCGUCAGGUUUCUCUAUAAGGAAAGUAAUUUCCUUAAGUUCCUCGAGUUGGUCAAGAGAAUGGACUCUUCAAUGGGUGUUUCAGGUCUUAGAGGGGUUCUGGAUCUGCCUCUCUCAUUGUUGACUCUGCAGGACAUCAGGUGAAUUUCACUUCCUUUAUUUGCCCGAGAGG